UGGGGAAUAUUGGACAAUGGGGGGAACCCUGAUCCAGCCAUGCCGCGUGUGUGAAGAAGGCCUUAUGGUUGUAAAGCACUUUAAGCGAGGAGGAGGGUACUGGUAUUAAUACUACCAGGUACUGGACGUUACUCGCAGAAUAAGCACCGGCUAACUCUGUGCAGCAGCCGCGGUAAUACAGAGGGUGCGAGCGUUAAUCGGAUUUACUGGGCGUAAAGCGUGCGUAGGCGGCUAAUUGAGUCGGAUGUGAAAUCCCCGAGCUUAACUUGGGAAUUGCAUUCGAUACUGGUUAGCUAGAGUGUGGGAGAGGAUGGUAGAAUUCCAGGUGUAGCGGUGAAAUGCGUAGAGAUCUGGAGGAAUACCGAUGGCGAAGGCAGCCAUCUGGCCUAACACUGACGCUGAGGUACGAAAGCAUGGGGAGCAAACAGG
rnacentral:rRNA from 1 species